rnacentral:lncRNA from 1 species
UGCAAACCCUAAGCAGACCUCCCUCUGUGCGCCACUCAGCCAACCCCGUUUGGAGACCCCGAUUCCUCGCCCGCCUCCGAUUGCGACAGAGGGAGCAAAAGAUCGACCCCUCAAGUACGCUCUUUGUUUUCUAAUCUCCUAUUAUUGUAGCGAAUAAGGAUCAAAAGAGUGAAGAACAGAAAAUGAAGAAAGAAAACUAUUCACCUUUCGAUUUCUCCGAAUAUUUGUUUUUUUUUUUUUGUAUUCAAUCUGUGUAUGCAUUUUUUUUUGCGUUUUUUGUCCCCUUUACAAAUACCGAAAACUAGCUUUAUAUAGCCGAAAAUGAAAUACAAAAAUUACAACAAAAACAUCUCGCUUCCUUUUCUUUUUCUCUCUUUCUUUAUUUUCUAUCAAUUUCUUCUUUUUUCUUUGCCUUUUUUGCUUUGUUGCGCUCGUUUGUCCUUCUUGCAGGUACAACGUACGGAGGGUGGACGUGGCACGUACGGAGGCGCGCACGAGGGCAAAGGCUCGGAGUGUACGGAGGUUGGUCACGCGCGGAAGGCUUGGCUGCGGCGCAUGAAUCUUCUAGGGUUCCCUGCUGCUGAUUUUGCGUUGGGCCUCUUCGUGAUUGGGCUAGGGUCUAGGAAAAUUAGGUUUAAAUUUUAAUGGGCCUUAGUGGGUUAGCAUUUAAGCACUUGGGCCACUGUAUUGGGUUGAUUUUGGACUGUAUUAUUCUCUUUUUUUUUGGUUUUUCAUUUGGUUUAUUUUACUAACGGGCCGGGCAAAUUGGGCCUAUUACAAUCUCUUUAGGCCGCAAAGUCCAUGUGGAAUGGGGCCUUGGAGCUUAUUUCCACCAAAAUCCACAUAUUGGAUAUUUUUUAACCUUCUUAUUUUUCUUGGAAUAGAUCCACUCAACUCAUUGCCAUAAAAGUCCAAAG